rnacentral:sRNA from 1 species
ACGGAAACCAACACUUACGCACAGCACU